GUGCUUCAGCAGCACAUGCACUAAAAUUGGAACGAUACUGAGAAGGUUAGCAUGGCCCCUGCGCAAGGAUGACAGACAAAUUCGUGAAGCACUCCAUAUUGUA